rnacentral:rRNA from 1 species
UACGGAGGGUGCAAGCGUUAUCCGGAUUUACUGGGUUUAAAGGGUGCGUAGGUGGGUAGGUAAGUCAGUGGUGAAAUCUUCAAGCUUAACUUGGAAACUGCCAUUGAUACUAUUUAUCUUGAAUACUUUGGAGGUAAGCGGAAUAUGUCAUGUAGCGGUGAAAUGCUUAGAUAUGACAUAGAACACCAAUUGCGAAGGCAGCUUACUACACAGUUAUUGACACUGAGGCACGAAAGCGUGGGGAGUCAAACAGGA